rnacentral:sRNA from 1 species
AUAAACUUCCGCUCGGCAUGGAAGGUGAAUGCAAGUCGCAAGGCAGUAACUAAGACGUGGAUAUUCUGUUGGACGACUGUUGGUUACUGUUAGGUAUGAUGUUUUUUGAUCUACAUAGACUUGGUAACGGUGUUCUUUUUUCUCUCUAGGGAUUGAUUCUGUGAAGUGGACAGGCAUAGUAAGAGGGAAUUUCCGCGGAGGUUUAAAUGGGGCGACUGCGUGAAGUGUCCGGUUCCACGGCCCUGAUUUUGGCGGGAGUUACAUUUGUUCUAGGAUUUUAUCUGGGAUACAAGGCGAAAGCACUUCGGUUGCGAUAUCUGCAAAAUAAAAGGGACCGUCUUAUGAAUAAACUGAAUAAGACGACAGAAGACAUUCAUUAUACAAUGAAUAACAUUUGAAUUAGAAAUACAUGUACUUAAUACUAUUCACGUGUGCUUUAAUUUGUUGUGGCAUCCUUGUGUAAAUGAUAGUUCCAUCUUUUGUUAUACCUGAACAUGUAUACUCAUCUCUUGCAUGUAACUGUACCAUUUGCUGUGCCAAAUCUUUUUUUUUUUUAUAUGUUUAUGACAUAAUAUUAAACAAAUGACAAAUAUACAGUAGAUAUAGUUAUUGUAAAUAAUUAUUAUUGUUAAUAAUUAUUGUUAAUAAACUUAUUUCUACAAAA